rnacentral:tRNA from 53 species
GCCGGGAUAGCUCAGUUGGUAGAGCAGAGGACUGAAAA